AGAAGAGGUGAGUGAGAAGCUACCGAGUUGCUUCAUGACGGUAGUCUUGUCAGCGACGUGCGGUGGCGUUUGGGCUGCCUAUAGCGAUAAGCAAAAUAUUAGGAAACGGGUUCAUGAUGCAGUAGGGGCUUGUGGGACCGUGUCCCAACGUCUUCUCGUAAAACAGGAAGCUGUGAAUGCUGAGAUGAUGAAGCUUGUUAAAGACGUGAAGAUGAAACGUCAGAGUUGAAGAUGCUAUCAACUUGUAUUUUGUUUCCAGA